rnacentral:lncRNA from 1 species
GAGAUUUUCGGGUCCAUUGGGAUUGGAUACGUUAUGGAUUUCAGCUUCAAGAGCAGGAGGACUAGGGGUUUCGUGGGCAUUUCGGUUGUUGGUGUCCUCGGGACUGCAAUUUGGAUUGGCGGACUUGCCAACCAACUCAACUACUCUCGAAGCGAUUUGCCUGAGAAGUUGGAUUUUAAGGACUCCGGCUCUGCUUUCGCAGGACCGUUCGUGUUGUAUUUUAGUUUCGGGUUGCUUGAUGCCAUAUUCCAGAGAAUGGUUUUCUGGGUCAUUGGAGCCUUGGCUGAUAACUCUGAAAUUCUAAGCAGGUAAUAGAAUAUUCCUUGCUUCCCAAGUCUUUAACCUUUCAAUGAUCUUUGUGCGUUUGGGCAAUUUUUCGUGUGCAGGACUGGACAAUCCAAUCCAAUCCUGCGCACGAAAUGUGGACUUAGUGGCAUUCACAGAACAAUGUGUGAUUCUAAAAAUUUAUUUAAUUUUGUGCAUGUUUUGUACAGGUAUGUUGGAUUCUACAUGGGAAUACAGAGUGCAGGGUCAGCAGUAGCUUGGCAAGUCGAUGCGCACAAGGCAUCCUUCCUCUCCCAAUUGGUUACGAAUUUCACGCUUUACACCGUGAGUUAUCCGCUGCUGGUGGUUCUGAUCUUGCUGGCCGUGAAGGAUGAAGGUAAGGCUGAUGUGGAGGAAUUUACCAAGGGGAAGGUUGCUGAAUUUACCGAGGAGAAGUUGCUGAGCCUGCAGCCUCAGAGAAGUGAUCGUAAUGAUCGUCGGCUUAAUUAGCAGAUGAAAUUAGUCAUAAGCCAUCCAAAUGUUUGUCUUAAUUACGUCCAUACAAUCGAAUCUUCACGAAUUAUUGUAAUGGAAAUGCCAGUAUAAUUGAUGUAGCACGUUCAAAUUGUCAAAAAAUUUACAGAGUAAUCAAAGUUCAUGUUUUGAUAAAAUGUCUGAAUGACUAGUUCUUGACCACGAUUGUCCAUUAUAUUCAUGGAUGCUUGGAAGGAAUACUGAGAGAGUCUUCUACUCAUCGAGGAACCUUCAUGUCAAACCCUAGCUAGUGAUAGAGCCAGAUGAUAUUUGACGUGAUUUUCCUAUGAUCUCUCGAGCCUUGAGUAUUUACAAAUGCUUGGUUAACAAUCCUUCCACCCUUGGACCAACUGGAGGCACGCACAGUGAUGAUGCUUCCUCAGAAGGAUCUCAUCAUGGUGUUUGAAUGAUCGAGGAAACAACUAAGCAAGAUAAUGCAAAGGAAUCAUGGUUUUUGCUUCAGAACCGCAAGAAAGGAGCAUAGAGUUUGAUAUCUCAUAGUUGUUUGCCAAUUCAAUCAGUUAUUGGGUUCUUUCGCACCAGACAUUUUUCAUCGGAGGAUGCUUUCGUUGUUGUUUUAGCCAGAAGGUAAGACGCGUCCACUCAAUAUGAGCAAUAGAUCAGGUUUCCUUUGCCCGUUGGAUUUCGGAGGCCACCCUACUCGUAGUGUGUAUUUGCUGGUAUGUGAUUGAGUUGGGCUGUCUAAAUCCUAAUUAGUGUUUUUUAUGACAUGUUAAAAGCCUUCUGGAGUUUUAACCACUCGAGCAAGGCUCGAGCAGUCCUUGUGAGGCCUCGGUGGGGGUCCAAGUACCGCUUGAAGGGGCCUCGACAGGACUCGAGCAUUGCUCUAGAUUAUCUUGACGGGUUUUCGUCAUAUUGUUAAACGUCUUUUAGUAAGGAAGCGUCGUAAUCGUGGAGCAAUAAUGUGUUUGACUUUCGGAUACAUGGUCCGAGAUUUCGAUUUGAUACUUGAUGUGUUCGUUGGAUCUUGUUGCAGAUUAGGAUCUACUUCCAAAAACUACAGUAGAAAAUGGUGUAGAGCCAAAGUCUAUAAUCUUGAAACGUAGGUCAUCCCUUUAUCCUUUCCACAACCCUAUUGCUGGUGGUCCGUUCUUGGACCACCAUAAGUACCGAUGAAAAGUCAAUCACGUCUUGUUAAAAUUUUCACAAUUGAUUUGGAAUAUUAAUAUAGUGAUAUUCUCGGCAUAUGUAACGUUUAAGUCAUCAUGAUAUUGUGUCUGUAUCUUAAGUCAGUCGCACAACAGUAAUAAUUGAACUCUGAACAAGAUUAUAAAAGUUGCUUGAGUAAUGAACUUAUUAAACAAAAACUCAUUCAUUUAGGAGACCGAGUUUACAAUUGUCGAAUGUUUUUUUUUUUUCCACAAACCAACAAAAACAAUAUCUUCCUCUCAAGAACGCUCGAUAACUCCCUAUUGAAAUGAGUUUUUAAUCCUUUUAUUUUCUUUAAAAUGAGACUAAUUAGUGGUUUCGUCAUGACAAUUUACUUUUUAUAGACCGAAAAAAUCCGCAGAAUAUAUUGAAAUGAGUUUUUGGUCGAUCAGGAAUUGCAGCCGCCCGACUUGCCGUUUAAUGAGCUAAUAAUGCCAAAAUGCUUUAACGUCACUUGGUGCGCUUGCGUUUGAAGAGUUUGUCGAUGUCAACAGCAAACUUAGACUUUUCUGUGAAGUAUGCCAAACAAGUUGAAAACAACAUAUAGCCACUCUUAAUUUACAAUUUCUCCCUCACGCUUGGGAAGGAAAAUACAAUUACUUGAUUAUCUGCGCCUGCAUAAUCAUAUUAGACAAACCAAGUUUAAUUAGUUACUGAAUUAUUUGAUGUUACGGAAAACAGAAGAUUAUACGUUGCAGACAUGAGCUUAAGUUGGUUAACAUAUUGUUUCCGUUUUUUACCCAACUUCAAGUCAUGCUCUUAAUAAUAAACAAUACAUCGUUAUUAUGAGGAGAUUUUUCAGUUGUCGGAAACACGACCUGAUACACUAAUAAAAUAAAAUUGUACCUAAUAUUUUAUCCGUACGUCUUUAUUUCUUUAAAUCUCAUACCAUCGAAGUUGUUUUCGAUCUUCACACUUUAUCUCUCUUUUCUUGGACCCUGAAUCAAGGACGGUUUGGCAUGGACAUAUACUCAUAUGCCCAUUCCAACUUGGGAAUUGAAAUACAAGAUUCCCUUCCACCCCUAAUCUAACGAAUGAUUAAAAAUUUGAAACUGUGAUUUUUUUAUGCAUAUUCAUAUCCCAUCCCGUCAGGAUUAGGGAUUUAUAAUCUGACUUUUCUCAGCAUCAUUCUCACACGCCCCGCUGGACUCUGAAAACCCAGACAAAGCCUGGACUCCAUAAAUUGUCAUUUGCUAUGCAUUCUUUGUCCAAUCCAAGGGUCCUUGUCCGUUUUGACCCUUGCAAUUGGUCCCGGACUAUAUCGUCCCGAGCUAAAUCCUUCUGCUAAUCACAACCACAUAAGUUCAUCCUUUCGAUUCUCCACCAAAUCCCCGUAAAUUAGAUUAGUUUAGAAUAUCGCUCGAUAAAAAGUUCGGAUCCCAGUUCCAUUUGGCAUUCAAAGGGAGGAACUUUGUGAUUAAAAUCACACAGAAGUCGUAAAAUUUAUCACCUGGGAUUCGAUGGUUUCCGAAGGAGUGGAAGAAUCGGGAGGCACGGAGGUGCCCCAGUCGAAAUUCAGGUACAACUCGCCGUUUGUCCAAGUGAGUUUGAUCGGAUUGGUCUGUUUCUGCUGCCCUGGCAUGUUCAUGGCCCUCUCUGGCAUGGGCGGCGGAGGCCAGGUCGACCCGACUGCCUCCAACAACGCCUCCACCGCCCUCUAUACCACCUUCGCCGUCUUCGGAAUUCUCGGCGGCGGCAUCUACAACAUCCUCGGCCCCCGCCUCACUCUCCUCUCCGCCUGCCCCACCUACGUCCUCUACGCCGGCUCAUUCCUCUACUACAACCACCACAAGCACCAGGCUUUCGCUAUUGUCGCCGGAGUAAUCCUCGGAAUCGGCGCCGGCCUCCUCUGGGCAGGCCAAGGCGCCAUCAUGACGUCAUACCCUCCCCCGAACCGAAAGGGGACAUACAUCUCGAUUUUCUGGAGCAUUUUCAACAUGGGUGGCGUCAUCGGUGGACUAAUUCCCUUCGUUCUUAAUUACCACCGGAGCGAAGCGGCUUCCGUCAACGAUGCAACUUACAUUGGGAUAAUGAUUUUCAUGUCCAUCGGGACUCUUUUAUCCCUCUCUAUCCUGCCCGCCAGCAAAGUUGUCCGGGACGACGGGACUAAAUGUACGGACAUUCAGUACUCAAAUGUCACAACUGAGGCCAUUGAGAUUGCCAAGCUGUUUACGAAUUGGAAAAUGCUUCUUAUAAUCCCGGCUGCUUGGUCGGGCAAUUUUUUCUACACCUACCAGUUCAACAACGUCAACCAAAUUAUGUUUAAUCUGAGGACGAGAGGAUUGAACAAUGUGUUCUACUGGGGAGCGCAGAUGUUGGGGUCCAUCGGGAUUGGAUACGUUAUGGAUUUCAGCUUCAAGAGCAGGAGGACGAGGGGUUUCGCUGGCAUUUCAGUAGUUGGUGUUCUCGGGACUACAAUUUGGAUUGGCGGACUUGUCAACCAGCUCAACUACUCUCGCAGUGAUUUGCCUGAGAAGUUGGAUUUUAAGGACUCCGGCUCUGCUUUCGCAGGACCCUUCGUGUUGUAUUUUAGUUUCGGACUGCUUGAUGCCAUGUUCCAGAGCAUGAUUUACUGGGUCAUUGGAGCCUUGGCUGAUAACUCUGAAAUUCUAAGCAGGUAACAGGAUAUUCCUUGCUUCUCAACUUUUUCAUUUCUCAAUGAUCUUCGUGCGUUUAGGCAAUUUUUCGUGCGCAGGCGUGGACAAUCCAAUCCAAUCAUGCGCACGAAAUGUGGCCUUAGUUACAGUCACAGAACAAAGAGUGAUGCUAAAAACUCAUAUUUUUGUGCAUGUUUUGUACAGGUAUGUUGGAUUCUACAAAGGAAUACAGAGUGCAGGGGCAGCAGUUGCUUGGCAAGUCGAUACGCUCAAGGCAUCCUUCCUCUCCCAAUUGGUUACCAAUUUCGCGCUCAACACCGUGAGUUAUCCGCUGCUGCUGGUUCUGAUCUUGCUGGCUGUGAAGGAUGAAGGUAAGGCUGAUGUGGAGGAAUUUACCAAGGAGAAGGUUGCUGAGCCUGCAGCCUCAGAGAAGUGAUCAUAAUGAUCGUCGGCUUAAUUAGCAGAUCAAAUUAGUCAUAAGCUCUGAAUAUUUGAUUUAAUUACGUUCAUACAAUCGAAUCUUCACGAAUUAGUGUAAAUUAUGUACCAUGUUCAAAUUGUCAAGUAUUUUACUGAGUAAAUGUUGUAAUGGAGGUACUAUAUUGAAAUAAAAUAGUAGGUGGGGUAUGAAAGUGAAAUGUUUUAAAGAUGUUGUAUAGAGUUGUAAUAGACUUUAAACUUGAGGGGUAACUAUGUAAUUUACCCUAAUAAAUAAUACACCGUUAUUGUGGGAAGAUUUUUUCAGUACGUCGAAAACCCGGCCUGGUACACCAAAUAUAAUAAUAUAAUUAGUUGAAAAUUGAAAAUAAAAUUUCAACCAAUUAUAUUAUUACACUUGUGUACCGAACGUGUUCCAAAUACACUGAAAAAUUUAUCGCUACUUUAGCAUAACGUCCCAAUAAGUUAGAAGUAUAUGUAAUAUUUUAUCCGCGCGUCUUUAUUUCUUUAACGCUUAUAGUUAUACCAUCUAAGUUGUUUUCGCUCUUCACUCUUUGUCUCUCUUUCCGUGGACCAUGAAUCAAGGACAGUUUGGCAUGGACAUAUACAGUAUACUCAUAUACCCAUCCCACUAGGGAAUUAAAAUACAAGAUUCCUUUCCACCUAUUAUCUAACGAAUGAUUGAAAUUUUGAAAUUGACUGAAUUUUUUAUGGAUUUAACUUCGCUGCGGCUUUCAUCCAAUUUCGAUUGGACACGUAUACCAGUUUUGAUUAAAAAAAUUAAAAUUUGAACACGUGUUCAGUCGGGUGUGAGCAGCUGCUGAAUCUGCAGCAGCCAAAUCCAGUUUUUUUUUAUUUUUUUUAUGCGUAUUCAUAUCCCGUCCCGUCGGGAUUAAGGAUUUAUAAUCCGACUUUUCUCAGCAUCAUUCUCACACGCCCCGCUGGACUCUGAAAACCCAGACAAAGCCUGGACUCCAGAAAUUGUCAUUUGCUUUGCAUUCUUUGUCCAAUCCAAGGGUCCUUGUCCGUUUUGACCCUUGCAAUUAGUCGUGGACUAUAUCGUCCCGAGCUAAAUCCUUCUGCUAAUCACAACCACAUAUGUCAGUUCAUCCUUCCCAUAAAUUAGAUUAGUUUAGAAUAUCGCUCGAGAAAAAGUUCGGAUCCCAGUUCCAUUUGGCAUUCAAAGGGAGGAACUUUGUGAUUAAAAUCACACAAAAGUCGUAAAAUUUAUCACCUGGGAUUCGAUGGUUUCCGAAGGAGUGGAAGAAUCGGGAGGCACGGAGGUGCCCCAGUCAAAAUUCAGGUACAACUCGCCGUUUGUCCAAGUGAGUUUGAUCGGAUUGGUCUGUUUCUGCUGCCCUGGCAUGUUCAACGCCCUCUCCGGCAUGGGCGGCGGAGGCCAGGUCGAUCCGACCGCCGCUAACAACGCCUCCACCGCCCUCUAUACCACCUUCGCCGUCUUCGGUAUCCUCGGUGGCGGCAUCUACAACAUCCUCGGCCCCCGCCUCACUCUCCUCUCCGCCUGCUCCACCUACGUUCUCUACGCCGGCUCAUUCCUCUACUACAACCACCACAAACACCAGGCUUUCGCUAUUGUCGCCGGAGCAAUCCUCGGAAUCGGCGCCGGCCUCCUCUGGGCCGGCCAAGGUGCCAUCAUGACGUCAUACCCUCCCCCAAACCGAAAGGGGACAUACAUCUCGAUUUUCUGGAGCAUUUUCAACAUGGGUGGCGUCAUCGGUGGACUAAUUCCCUUCGUUCUUAAUUACCACCGGAGUGAAGCGGCUUCCGUCAACGAUGCAACUUACAUUGGGUUCAUGAUUUUCAUGUCCAUUGGGACUCUUUUAUCCCUCGCUAUCCUGCCCCCCAGCAAAGUUGUCCGGGACGACGGGACUAAAUGUACGGACAUUCAGUACUCAAAUGUUACGACUGAGGCCAUUGAGAUUGCCAAGCUGUUUACAAAUUGGAAAAUGCUUCUUAUAAUCCCGGCUGCUUGGUCGAGCAAUUUUUUCUACACCUACCAAUUCAACAACGUCAAUCAAAUUAUGUUUAAUCUGAGGACUAGAGGAUUGAACAAUGUGUUCUACUGGGGAGCGCAGAUGUUGGGGUCCGUCGGGAUUGGAUACGUUAUGGAUUUCAGCUUCAAGAGCAGGAGGACGAGGGGUUUCGCUGGCAUUUCAGUAGUUGGUGUUCUCGGGACUACAAUAUGGAUUGGCGGACUUGUCAACCAGCUCAACUACUCUCGCAGUGAUUUGCCUGAGAAGUUGGAUUUUAAGGACUCCGGCUCUGCUUUUGCAGGACCCUUCGUGUUGUAUUUUAGUUUCGGACUGCUUGAUGCCAUGUUCCAGAGCAUGGUUUACUGGGUCAUUGGAGCCUUGGCUGAUAACUCUGAAAUUCUAAGCAGGUA